rnacentral:rRNA from 1 species
UACGGAGGGGGCUAGCGUUGUUCGGAAUUACUGGGCGUAAAGCGCACGUAGGCGGCUUUGUAAGUUAGAGGUGAAAGCCCGGGGCUCAACUCCGGAAUUGCCUUUAAGACUGCAUCGCUAGAACGUCGGAGAGGUAAGUGGAAUUCCGAGUGUAGAGGUGAAAUUCGUAGAUAUUCGGAAGAACACCGGUGGCGAAGGCGGCGACCUGGUCCGACACUGACGCUGAGGCGCGAAAGCGUGGGGAGCAAACAGG